rnacentral:rRNA from 1 species
CCUACGGUGUGCUGCAGUGAGGAAUAUUGGUCAAUGGCCGAGAGGCUGAACCAGCCAAGUCGCGUGAGGGAUGACGGCCCUACGGGUUGUAAACCUCUUUUGUCGGGGAGCAAAGAGAGUCACGUGUGGCUCAUUGAGAGUACCCGAAGAAAAAGCAUCGGCUAACUCCGUGCCAGCAGCCGCGGUAAUAAGGAGGAGGCGAGCGUUAUCCGGAUUUAUUGGGUUUAAAGGGUGCGCAGGCGGAGGUGCAAGUCAGUGGUCAAAUUGCGGGGCUCAACCCCGUACUGCCGUUGAACCUGCAUCCCUUGAGUGUGCGAGAAGUAUGCGGAAUGCGUGGGGUAGCGGUGAAAUGCAUAGAUAUCACGCAGAACUCCGAUUGCGAAGGCAGCAUACCGGCGCGCAACUGACGCUCAUGCACGAAAGCGUGGGUAUCGAACAGGAUUAGAUACCCUUGUAGUC